rnacentral:rRNA from 1 species
UACAGAGGUGGCAAGCGUUGUUCGGAUUUACUGGGCGUAAAGGGUGCGUAGGCGGUUCUGUGUGUCGGGUGUGAAAUCCCACGGAUCAUCCGUGGAACUGCAUUCGAAACUACAGGGCUUGAGUACAGGAGAGGAAGGUGGAAUUCUCGGUGUAGCGGUGAAAUGCGUUGAUAUCGAGAGGAACGCCGGAGGCGAAGGCGACCUUCUGGACUGUAACUGACGCUGAGGCACGAAAGCUAGGGGAG